AAUAAACGCUGGCGGCGUGCCUAACACAUGCAAGUCGAGCGAGAAAGCUCCUUCGGGAGUUAGUAAAGCGGCGAACGGGUGAGCAACACGUGAGAAUCUACCCUUUAGUGAAGAAUACCCUCGAGAAAUCGAGGCUAAUACUGCAUACGUCCCUUCGGGGAGAAAGAUGGCCUCUUUGCUAUCGCUAAAGGAUGAGCUUGCGUACUAUUAGCUAGUUGGCGGGGUAAAGCCCACAGGCAUGAUGGUUAACCGGCCUGAGAGGGUGUACGGUCACACUGGAACUUAGACACGGUCCAGACUCCUACGGGAGGCAGCAGUGAGGAAUCUUGCGCAAUGGGCGAAAGCCUGACGCAGCGACGCCGCGUGGAGGAUGACGGUUUUCGGAUUGUAAACUCCUGUUAAGCGGGAAGAAAGCCUUGUUUCUAAUACAAGCAAGGUAUGACGGUACCGCUAGAGAAAGCACCGGCUAACUUCGUGCCAGCAGCCGCGGUAAGGUGCGCG
rnacentral:rRNA from 1 species